CUACGGGAGGCAGCAGUGGGGAAUAUUGCACAAUGGGCGCAAGCCUGAUGCAGCCAUGCCGCGUGUAUGAAGAAGGCCUUAGGGUUGUAAAGUACUUUCAGCGGGGAGGAAGGUGAUAAGGUUAAUACCCUUAUCAAUUGACGUUACCCGCAGAAGAAGCACCGGCUAACUCCGUGCCAGCAGCCGCGGUAAU
rnacentral:rRNA from 1 species